UCAUGCUCAUAUAUCUCUUUGGUCUGAAUUAGAACACCGUUAUUGUCACAGGUGCACAGCACAAGAGGGAGCUGAGGAACACAGGUUAUGGGACUUGCCCAUGCUGAUGAGCAAAGUUGCAAUUAGAUGAAUUAGUAUGAAUAAUUGAGGUUGGCUUUCAUAUCAGCAGCCAGAGGACAUGCUGCUGAAGACAGACACUUAAAAGUGAGAGGAGACCCACGUUUU
rnacentral:lncRNA from 1 species